rnacentral:ncRNA from 1 species
UCCCGGAUAUAUUAUUGUUUUUAGCUAGUAAUAUACAUGCCAGCUUCCCCACCCCAGUGAAAACGCCCACUUUUGGCUUGACCCCACAUGUGGGGCCGGUAUCAGGCACGGUUAAGAACCAGCCCAACACACCUAGCCACGCCACCCCCCCACUGGGCCUCAGCAGUAAUAAACACUAAGCACUGAGCUAACGCUUGACUUGGUAAUAGCUACCCUGGGCCGGUAAACCCCGUGCCACCACCGCGGUUACACGAGGGGCCCUAAACAACGAACAUCGGCGUAAAGCGUGACUAGAGCGUGAACUUAUUUUCAGGACUUUAAAACUAUAGUGAAGCUGUAAAACGCUGUAUACUAUUAGGAAUUCACCAUGAAGCCCUACUCAUAAAAACCUUGACCCCACGAAAACUAGGAUCCAAACUAGGAUUAGAUACCCUACUAUGCCUAGUUGUAAAAUUAGACGGAGCCACUUCGCUCGCCAGAAAAUUACACGCAACCAGCUUAAAACUCAAAAGACUUGACAGUAUUUCACAUCGACCUAGAGGAGCCUGUCCUACAACCGAUAACCCACGAUCAACCUCACCCACCUUUGCAACAACAGUCUAUAUACCUCCGUCGCCAGCCCGCCUGAAAACAGAUACAAAGCGAGUGCAACAGUUCAUCACUAAGACGACAGGUCAAGGUGUAACUAAUAGGUUGGGCAGAGAUGGGCUACAUUUCCUAACAUAGAAAAUACCCACCCGCCAUGAAAUUUGCGCAAAAAGGUGGAUUUAGCAGUAAGUCAGGCAAGAAAAGCCCACCUGAAAACCGCCCUGAAAUGUGUACACACCGCCCGUCACCCCCCUCAACAGCAGCAACACAAUAAAUAAUACCCC